ACGGGAGGCAGCAGUGGGGAAUAUUGCACAAUGGGGGAAACCCUGAUGCAGCGACGCCGCGUGAAGGAAGAAGGUAUUCGUAUUGUAAACUUCUGUCGCAGAGGACGAUAAUGACGGUACUCUGUAAGAAAGCACCGGCUAACUACGUGCCAGCAGCCGCGGUAAAACGUAGGGUGCAAGCGUUGUCCGGAAUUACUGGGUGUAAAGGGAGCGCAGGCGGUUCUGCAAGUUGGAUGUCAAAUCUACGGGCUUAACCCGUAUCCGCAUUCAAAACUGUAGGACUUGAGUGAAGUAGAGGUAGGCGGAAUUUCCGGUGUAGCGGUGGAAUGCGUAGAUAUCGGAAGGAACACCAGUGGCGAAGGCGGCCUACUGGGCUUUUACUGACGCUGAGGCUCGAAAGCAUGGGUAGCAAACAGGAUUAGAUACCCUGGUA
rnacentral:rRNA from 2 species